CGCGCGGCUGACAAGCGAGGACCCCAGGCAGAAAGCGGACCGGCGCUCAGGCGGCUUCGCCGCCCCGCUCGGCCACCCCGUUCCGCUCUGCUCCGUUCCCGCUCCCGCCCCGCUCGGUCCCGUCGUGCGCUGGAGGUGCUGUCGGGGCUGCGCCGCCGCGUUCCCCCCCGGAAGCGACCCACGGCGGCAGAUCCAACGUCAGGCUCUCCAGGAGAUCGUCCCCGGGCCUCAGUCAGGGCUUCCCAGGGAGCGUUGCGGCUGCUGCUGGAAGGGAGAAAUCCUUUGGGAAGCUGGGAGACAAACAGCAACUCUGUGAAUUGCUCAGCUUUUCCUAGAAACCAUGAAGCCUGAAGUUCCCGAAGCAGCAAGAGCAGCGACAGCAACGGCAAAGCUGCUGAGCAGGAGAAACCGAAGCGCUUAAAGGAACUUGCUGAGAAUCAAGAAGCCAGAUUUCAGCAAGUGACAGCCCUGAAAGGCCACGUGGAGCAGAAAAGACUCAGCGUUGGGAAAUGAGCGGAGGAGGCGGACCAGCUGAAGAGCCUGUUGCAGCCGAAGUGGCGCGAGCUGGCGCUGGACGUGCCGAAAGCAGAGGAACUGCCUGGGCUGCCAGAGAUGCUGAGAAAGGGCUGACGAAUUGGUGGUUACCACGACAACCUGUCACCUGUAACUGAGCUCCACCCACCCCGUGUCCAAGGAGCUGCAGCUGAGGAACAAAGUGAAGCAGGAGCAGAAAGCCAGGCUGCAGCACCAGAGGGAGCAUUGGAAGGAGCGCAGCUUGGAGGUGGCAGUGCUGGAGAAGCGUGUCAGUGAGCUGCCAGAGCGCCUGGAGAAGAGAAAGGCAACUCUGUCCCAGGGAGAGAAUGUACCGGUUUCUUCAGAUGGAAAUUCACCACAGCCAGUGGCUUCUGCUCCAAGGGGAGUGGCAGCAGUAGGUCCUUCUAUCCAGUCCUCUACUAUGCCACAUAUUGCUUCCAGACCUGAACUUUAGGUGAAAGCAGCAUUCUCAGGUGGGACAUGAGCCUUGCCAGGCAGCUGAGGGUCUGCUGAAAUCACAAACUCCGCCCAACGUGGGAGCUGGGAACCGUUCACAAGCUAAAGCUCCUGCAGGUUCUGUGGUCACCUGUGCAAAACCUUCCCCAUCUGCCCCUGACUGGAGUAGUUCAAAUGCAGACAAUCAUAUUGGUCAGGGAUCAGCCUUGACUUCAGGAAAAGGAAUUGCGACUAGUGAAGGACAAGAUCAUCUGUGACCUGGAAGGGAGGAAAGACUCCAACAGAAUGGCUUUUGCCUUGAGACAGAGAAAUGAAGGGUUGGGCUCUGAUCAGAGAUGUUUGUCAGUCCUUCCUCCUGAGAGAGCCUCACCUGCUCUCCCAGCUCAGAGACCUGCGCCUAUGAGAAAACAAGCUGUGCAAACCCUAACUGUGUCAAUAAUACAAGCCCAUCCAGCUGUCGUUGAUCUGCACAGCCAGAGAACUUCCUCCCUGAGGACACUGCUGUCAGAGCUGUGAGAUCAAAGCAGGAGGGUCAGGCCUGGCCUGAGCAGCCAGAUGGGUCCCCCAGCCCCCUGCAACCUCCCCCACAGUGUUGCCCUGGUUUGACCCAAUGGCUGCAUGUCCCUCAAAGUACAGCAGGACCCAGGGAAAGGGCGUGUGGAGCAGCUGUGCAGCAAUGAGGGACAGAGCUGCUUUGGGGAGGGCAGGAGGAUGAUUGCUUCCUCCAGCUCCCAUGGACCUCUGAGCAAAGGGGGCGAUUUCCAACCCCUCUGAGGGAUUUAUAUUGUGGGACCUGAUAUAUGCUGGAGCCCUUUUGAGAGCAAGAGGUAUCCACCUGGAACCACAAACCCACCCAAAAUUGCAUUGGGGAGGUGUCAAACAGGAGACAAGGGAGAUUCAGGAUGGAGCCACGUGGGUGAGAAGGUUUUCACCCAGCACAGACUCUGCAGGUGGGAACGGGGACAGGGGCACGGGGCUGAGCUGGGUUGCUGCCCCUCUGACCAAAACCCUCUGUGCCCGAGGGUGCAGGUGCCAGUGUGAUGGCCCAGGACAUCUGCAGCUCCCCAGGGGAUGGUGAGUACCGGGAUAGGUCCAUAAAUGGAGCUGUGGGUGACUGGAAAUGGGAAGAAAGAGGGGCUUUGUGUAGACGGCAAAACUGGGUGAACAAUUUGUCCUGCAUUUUGAGGGCCUUGCCUUGGCAUAGCUAAAGCACAAGCAGCAAAAGAAGCUGCGUAGCUAACAUGGCUACAGGCUCUGAAGUUAGAACUUCAGAAAAGAAGACUCCCUGCCAAGGUCAAGGAGGAGUCUUAGAAAGCUAAACAAGUUUUUUCAUCUCUUAUGGACACCUGCGAUGCUCCAAUUAACACCGGACAACAAAGUAUGUUUCUCUUAUAUAUCCAGUGCUGUGUGAAGAAGAAUCACGCAUCCAGGUGUAGCAGCAGUAUAUAAUAAACGUUCUUCUUCUAAUAAACGGACAUUUUGCCAACCA